rnacentral:snRNA from 1 species
GGAUGCGAGGGCGAUGUGGCUGCAACAUCUGUCACCCCAUUGAUCGCCAGGAUUGAUUUGGCUGAUCUGGCUGGCUAGACGGGUGUCCCCUUCCUGCCUCACCACUCCAUGUGCAUCCCUCCCGAAGCUGCACGCUCCGUCGAAGAGGAUGAGCUUACCCAAUAGAGGAGGACCAUUCUUCGGUCAAGGGUAUGCAAGUGGCUGCUCUCCCUGCUAGAACCUCCAAACAAGCUCUCAAUAGAAGCACCGGGUGGGAACAGAGAGCACAGGAGAGGCAGUGAUCCUGCUGGGAAUGGGCAAGGUAAGCAUGCAGGAUGAGUUGAUAAGGUUAAUUUU